GUGAGUUGUUAUGAGGCCCAGCACUCCUCAGCAUCUCUCUUCUCCCUUUCUCCUUCAGAAAAACAGAGACAAAAGAGAAGAGAGUCAACCUGAGCAUCUACGUAGCCGUUGACAACCACACAUAGCCGUUACAACAUGUCCCUGCAUGCAGACAACUGCAAGAAAACACCACUAAGGCUGUCGGAUCCUUCUGAGCUCCAGAGCGUCAGGCUGGUGUCCUCCAGGGAUAAUGUAGUUCUCAGGCCGGUUUGUGCUGCAGAUCUCGCAGCCCGG